rnacentral:rRNA from 1 species
AUGGAAACCCAGGAAGGCGAUGCGCAUAGGUCCGAAUCCGAUGCUCACAAAGUGAAAGGGAGAGGUGGAUUCGUAGCCCUGCCGUUCAUCAUAGCAAAUGAAAUGUUGGAGAAAGUUGCGGGGUUCGGGCUCAACACCAACAUGAUCAUGUACCUCACCAAGCAGUACCACCUGAGCAACGUCACCGCCGGAGCGACGCUCUUCGUGUGGGCUGCGGCGGCAAAUUUCGCGCCCAUUCCCGGCGCGCUCAUAGCCGACAUGUACACAGGCCGAUUCAUGGCCAUCUCGCUAGGCUCCAUCGCGUGCCUAACAGGGGUCGUUUUCCUAUGGCUGAGCGCCAUGAUACCCGGAGCACGGCCACCGCCGUGCGGCGUCGGCCUUGCCGGGGAGCAGUGCGCGCCCCCGGGGCCGAGGCACCUUGCGUGGCUGAUCGCCGGCUUCACGUUCCUGUCCAUCGGCGCCGGCGGCAUCCGGCCGUGCUCCAUGGCCUUCGGCGCGGACCAGUUCUCCCGGCACCCCAAGGAGAGGAGGUCGAGGAUCCUGCAGGCCUACUUCAACGCCUACUACGCGUCCAUCGGGGUGGCCUUCACGGUCGCCGUCACCGUGAUCGUCUACGUGCAGGACAACGUCGGGUGGAAGGCCGGGUUCGCCGUUCCGAUGGGCCUCAUGAUGCUCUCCGCGGUGAGCUUCCUCCUGGGCUCCCGCCUCUACGUCAAGGAGAAGGGGUCCAAGCAAAUGUUCGCCGGGAUAGGCGCCGCCCUCGUGGCGGCGAUCAGGAACUACAGGGUGCAGCUGCCGGCGAAGACGGAGGACGGCGUGUACCAUCAUCUCAAGGACUGCAAGCUCACUGUCCCCACAGACAGGUUGAGGUUCCUGAACAAGGCCUGCAUCAUCAGCAACAACGGGGGCGUGGACUUACCCGGCACUGGCGCGGCGGCCUCAGAGCGUGAUGGCAACGUUGGCGGCAGGAGGCUGUGCACGGUGGACCAGGUGGAGCAGCUCAAGUCGGCCGUCCGGAUCCUGCCGAUCUGGUCGUCCACCGUGUUCCUGGCGCAGGCCAUGAGCCAGAACUACGCCGUGCUGCAGGCCAACGAGAUGGACCGGCGCAUCGGCGUGGGCCAGUUCCGCGUGCCGGGCUGCUCCCUCACCAUGUUCAACAUGGUGACCAUGUCGCUGUGGUCGGGCAGCUACGACAGGUGGAUCGCGCCGGCGCUGCGGCGGGUGACGGGCGACCCGCGGGGGCUCACCAUGAAGCAGCGCGUCGGCGUGGGCCUGCUGCUGGCCACCGCGGCGAUGGCCGUGUCCGGCGCGGUGGAGGGCGCGCGGCGCAGGCUGGAGCUGGCCGGCGGCGGCGGCGCCGGCAUGUCGGCGUUCUGGCUGGUGCCGCAGUUCGCGCUCAUGGGGCUGGCGGAGGCGUUCGGCGUGAUCGGGGAGCUCGAGUUCUUCUACACGGAGCUGCCCAAGAGCAUGGCCAGCUUCAGCAUGGCGCUGCUCUACAUGGCCAUGGGGGUGGGCAACCUGGUCAACAGCCUGAUCGUCAAGGUGGUGGACGACGCGAGCAGGCGCGGGGGGAGGACGAGCUGGCUCUCCAGCGAUCUCAACGCGGGCCACUACGACUACUACUACUGGCUGCUCGCCGGUUUGGGCGCCGUCAACUUCGUGUACUUCCUCUGGUGCGCCUGGAAGUACGGCGAGGAGGGGAAGAACGUGGAGUGGGAGGAGGGUGAAGGUGAGAGGGAACGGCCGAUGGCCUAG